GUAAGGUACAGUGGCUACUAUGCUCAUCACUAUCACUACUAUUUCUACUACCGUCAUGGGUACCACUGCCAUCCCUACCGAAGUACCUACCGCUGCAGGCGAUGCCAGCACUACUGAGAAGCAGCAGCGCCCAGGGAUCACAGUGCUGGAGUUUACCUGACAGCAGACCUGCAAACAAAGCUUAAACACACCAGCAACCUGCUUUUGUAGCAUUGCUGCACCCUUUCUGUUCUGGUCCCUCUCCCCACACACAGCUAUAGCACACAUACUGAUUUCUAUCAGGACAUUCACAGUUUGUUUCAAACAGCUGCUCCCUGCUGUGCAUUUGGUCAAUCUCUUCAAGGAUAUAUAAUAGAGACAACAUUAUUUUUCUAUUGAUGAUACCCUACCUCUUAUGAAGCAGGUCUUUACAUUGUAUGGAAAGUUGUCCUUGUUUAACAUGUAGUCUCAGAUUCUAAGUGAGAUCACAUGCUCUCACAUGUUUGAAUAGAAACACAGCUGCACAUGGGAACAUAUAGAAACCGUUCCUCAGAGAGCGUGCUUGAUUGAUCUGCCCCAGCUCAUAAUCACUCCACCCAGUCAGGUUUGACCAGUACACUCCUUUCUUCUCCCAGUUCCACCCUGUGAUGUCAAAAGUGUCCAGUGACAGGCGUUGUUCACACUGACAAAAACAUUGUGUUUAUAUAGAGAUUUUCUUCAUCUUUCAAUUAUUUUAAAAUCUCUUUAUUUGCAUUCAUGACAACAAAUGCUCAAACUGCUGACCAGUAUAAACCAAAACAACAACACUGUC